AUUAUUUCCGACUGCAACGCAGAUUAAAUCUACAGAUUUAAUCUAGAUUCAUAUUACAGUAUUAGCAUCACCAAGGCAUGAGGAUAUACUUCAUUUAUUCAUCAAUCUCAUUCUCAUACUUUACAAACUAUUACAACCAAUUUUCGUUCAUACCUUCCAAUUACACCACAAUAAUUUAGCAUUUGCAUAAAGAAGAAUAAAAAGAAAAGAAAAGAAAAGAAAAGAAAAAGUGUUGCCACCAUCCUUUGUUUCCCACAAUUCCUUCCACCAUCUACCACUUUAUACCAUGCCCUUUUAUCCCCACACGUCUAUCAAUUCAUAAGUUUUCUCUCACAACCAAGAAUUUCAUCAGCUGGUUGAUCCGAACUUCCAUCGUCCAUCAGAUUAACAACAGCAGAUUAACAACAGCAACAGCGGGAUCUUUUCAUAAAAGGUCAAGCGCAAGAGUAAGAACUACACAAGGAGUUAGAGUACCUUAGCAAAACUUUGCUAUCAGGUUGAGUUGUGAUGGGCGAUGAAGUGUUGCUGAGUGGAGUUUUUGUUGAACUUAAAGUAGGCUCAGAAAGGAUACAUGUCUUCAUACAUGUAUCUCAGUUAUGCAUUCCGCUGUAAACACUGAUUAUUUCAGUUACACCUUCCGUUGCAAACUCUGAUAAUGUUUUAGCCAAGCCCCUAACGAUGCCUUUUUCCUUUUAAGGAAUAUAACGCGUAUACAAGUUCUUUGAGUA